GUCUGAGCUCGUUGAGCUGAACAUGUCCACUCCAGCUGGACGCUGCAUGACGCGGCUCGUGAUGGCAGAGACCAGCGCGAUGGGAUUUGGGAGGCGCAGUGACGUCAGCCAGCUGGCUACUUAUCACAAACACCCUGGACUGCUGGCGGCCCGCUGACGGCGGAGCUGGCGGCCCGAUGACGGCGGAGCUGGCGGCCCACCGGCGGUGAAGCAAAUGAACAGACAAAUUCCACUGUCCACCGGUCAUUUUCACUCCCCUCCUUUCCUUUCUGUAGUUAUGCUUUGUAAGUUAGUUUAGUAAAUAAGUCUAAUCGAGCACAGCAGCACUUUCUAUAAAUUCAUUUUAUAUCA